CGGGGGCCCGCACAAGCGGUGGAGCAUGUGGUUUAAUUCGAAGCAACGCGAAGAACCUUACCAGGUCUUGACAUCCUCUGACAAUCCUAGAGAUAGGACGUCCCCUUCGGGGGCAGAGUGACAGGUGGUGCAUGGUUGUCGUCAGCUCGUGUCGUGAGAUGUUGGGUUAAGUCCCGCAACGAGCGCAACCCUUGAUCUUAGUUGCCAGCAUUCAGUUGGGCACUCUAAGGUGACUGCCGGUGACAAACCGGAGGAAGGUGGGGAUGACGUCAAAUCAUCAUGCCCCUUAUGACCUGGGCUACACACGUGCUACAAUGGACAGAACAAAGGGCAGCGAAACCGCGAGGUUAAGCCAAUCCCACAAAUCUGUUCUCAGUUCGGAUCGCAGUCUGCAACUCGACUGCGUGAAG
rnacentral:rRNA from 2 species